rnacentral:pre_miRNA from 8 species
GUUAAGUCUAGGACACAGGGUGAUGACCUAUGAAUUGACAGCCAGUGUUUGCAGUCCAGCUGCCUGUCAGUUCUGUAGGCCACUGCCCUGUUUAUCCUACUAAACAC